rnacentral:rRNA from 1 species
CUAGUAGGUNGGGGUAACGGCUCACCUAGGCGACGAUCCCUAGCUGGUCUGAGAGGAUGACCAGCCACACUGGAACUGAGACACGGUCCAGACUCCUACGGGAGGCAGCAGUGGGGAAUAUUGCACAAUGGGCGCAAGCCUGAUGCAGCCAUGCCGCGUGUGUGAAGAAGGCCUUCGGGUUGUAAAGCACUUUCAGCGGGGAGGAAGGCGGUGAGGUUAAUAACCUCAUCGAUUGACGUUACCCGCAGAAGAAGCACCGGCUAACUCCGUGCCAGCAGCCGCGGUAAUACGGAGGGUGCAAGCGUUAAUCGGAAUUACUGGGCGUAAAGCGCACGCAGGCGGUCUGUCAAGUCGGAUGUGAAAUCCCCGGGCUCAACCUGGGAACUGCAUUCGAAACUGGCAGGCUAGAGUCUUGUAGAGGGGGGUAGAAUUCCAGGUGUAGCGGUGAAAUGCGUAGAGAUCUGGAGGA